UGGACUAGCUCUCUGUAGGUGUCUAGC
rnacentral:piRNA from 1 species